rnacentral:rRNA from 1 species
CGCUGGCGGCGUGCUUAACACAUGCAAGUCGAACGAGAAUUCGUGGAUAGAGGUUUCGGCCAAUUGAAGCGGAGGAAAGUGGCGGACGGGUGAGUAACGCGUGAGGAACCUGCCUUUCAGAGGGGGACAACAGUUGGAAACGACUGCUAAUACCGCAUGAUGCAUCGGAGUCGCAUGGCUCUUAUGCCAAAGAUUUAUCGCUGAAAGAUGGCCUCGCGUCUGAUUAGCUAGUUGGUGAGGUAACGGCCCACCCAAGGCGACGAUCAGUAGCCGGACUGAGAGGUUGAACGGCCACAUUGGGACUGAGAUACGGCCCAGACUCCUACGGGAGGCAGCAGUGGGGAAUAUUGGGCAAUGGGCGCAAAGCCUGACCCAGCAACGCCGCGUGAAGGAAGAAGGCUUUCGGGUUGUAAACUUCUUUUGUUGGGGACGAGUAGAAGACGGUACCUGACGAAUAAGCCACGGCUAACUACGUGCCAGCCGCAGC